ACUGAACGCUGGCGGCAUGCCUUACACAUGCAAGUCGAACGGCAGCGGGGGAGAAGCUUGCUUUUCCUGCCGGCGAGUGGCGAACGGGUGAGUAAUACAUCGGAACGUGCCCUGUAGUGGGGGAUAACUAGUCGAAAGAUUAGCUAAUACCGCAUACGACCUGAGGGUGAAAGUGGGGGACCGCAAGGCCUCAUGCUAUAGGAGCGGCCGAUGUCUGAUUAGCUAGUUGGUGGGUAAAGGCCUACCAAGGCGACGAUCAGUAGCUGGUCUGGCAGGAGGAUCAACCAAACUGGGACUGGGACACGGCCCAGACGCCUACAGGAGGCAGAGGUGGGGAAUUUUGGACAAUGGGCGAAAACCUGGUCCAGCAAUGCCGCGUGUGUGAAGAAGGCCUUCGGGUUGUAAAGCACUUUUGUCCGGAAAGAAAUGGCUCUGGUUAAUACCUGGGGUCGAUGACGGUACCGGAAGAAUAAGGACCGGCUAACUACGUGCCAGCCGCCGCCGCGG
rnacentral:rRNA from 1 species